rnacentral:lncRNA from 1 species
GUGUGUUGUGGAGGAAAGUGUGCCAUGGCGGAGCCUGUGGGGAAGCGGGGCCGCUGGUCCGGAGGUUAAAAGCAGCCUUCGCCUUAUCCCAGAUGAUCUAUCCCUCCUGAAACUCUACCCUCCAGGGGAUGAGGAAGGUAAGGGAGGGCCUCCAGGGAGAGGCACGCAGCCGCUGGCUUCUCUUAAGAGAAUUCCUGGGGUUUAUAUUCCUGCAGUCAGUUGUCUCCUGAGGCUCAAGGGAAGAGCGUGGGAGAGGGGACUCCUGCAUCCCAGCCACAGGAGCUGGAUUGUUAACAAGCAUAGAAUGUAUUAAUGUAUACAUUUCUGGUGCCACCUGAAGAGAUGCUGAUUCUGUAGUCCUGGGCGGGGCAGGAGGCGGUAAGGUGUUGAGAAUCUGUGACAUCUUGUUACAUCUGCAGCAAGUUCUUUGGGAACACUGGAGCCAGCAGGGUGUUCUCUGAAUCUUAUCAGGGAUGCCCUGUCUUUGUCCUCCCCCACUGAUGCAUUUUUUGCAAACAACUCAAGGGCGGGGAAUAGGAAUCUAGUCUAAUAAGGAAAUAAUCCAGUGGGCAAAUG